CCUGCACCUAUUUGUGUUGCAGUAGAUGACGGUCCACCUCCUGAGAAUCCAGAGCCAACAGAAAGGAUACUGCAGACUGUCAGACUUUGCGGAACCUAUCCUGCUAUCGAAAAU